ensembl:lncRNA
CGCCACGGGUAUACUGAAAAUCUUUUGGGUUAUUAUUUUUUUUUUUGUCUUUAUUGUUAAUAUUUUUCUUGCUAUAUACUAUAAUGUUUUUUUUUUUAGCAAGGCCCCAAAAACCAUCCUACCACUUUUUGAUUUGUGCCCAAAUACACUUUACAAAUACCCAUACAAGUUCCUGUGAAUCCUGUAAGUUUCUCUUAAGUUAUUUUAACCCGGAUCAUUUCAGUGUAUAUUUUAUUAUAAUAUAACUAACGACUGUUUGUUCGGCGCAGGUGUGAUCACGAAGCUCCUGGAGGCUCUGAGAAAUUUGCAUUUAUUUGACACACUUCUAAAGGUCGCCAAUGAUUUAGAGACGUGUUUUUGAGAGAAAACACAUUUAAGGACAGUUCCAGCCCUGAUAUCAUCCUGAUACAUCUCCUAGCGACUCGUCCAUGAUAUCCAUACUUGAAGAUUGGAAGAACUGUCUUGAAGGCUCUCCAUUUACAAACCAUCCGUCUCACUGCAGAAUGAUGAAUUUCAAAUUGUUUGGAGACGGCCUUAUAACCCUUCCCGGACUGAUGAGCAGCAACAGUCGCUUCUCUGAGCUCGUGGCUGAUGUCCUUUCACUUCAGUGUUCCAGAACGCCAACCUGCCAAAAGUUCUUGCUUUUAUCGAGGUAGUCGUGGUUCUUGAUGAUGAACUAAUAUCGUUUCAUGUGCAUUUCAUUAGUAACACCUGGCUGCUUAUUACUCUCUUAAUCGCACCGUUCGUUGUCACCCAGAUGAACACGGGUUCCUUUCUGAGCCUGGAUCCUGAAAUCUUCUAAAAUCUUAUCACUGAAUAUCAUUUUAUUACCCUUAUGUUUUAUGUGUUUGACUUUUAUGACUUUAUAUCUACAUUUGUGUUUUAAAAGAAAAAUAAUUACAAUUCAAUAACUAAAAAUAAAUAAUAAUAAUAAUAAUAAAACACUGAAUUUUUUUU